CCCUUAGAUGUUCUGGGCCGCACGCGUGCUACACUGAGUAAUUCAAUGGGUAAGGGAACGCUAGAGCAUUACCUAAUCUUGAAAUUUGCUCGUGAUGGGGAUCGACGGUUGCAAUUUUCCGUCGUGAACGAGGAAUACCUUGUAGGCGCAUGUCAUCAUCAUGCGCCGAAUACGUCCCUGCCCUUUGUACACACCGCCCGUCGCUCCUACCGAUUGAGUGAUCCGGUGAGGCUCUGGGACCUGGACGGAAAGAGCGUUUCGCUUGUUCUGUUUAGGAAACUUGGUCGAACCUUAUCAUUUAGAGGAAGGAGAAGUCGUAACA
rnacentral:rRNA from 1 species